rnacentral:rRNA from 1 species
UACGGAGGGUGCAAGCGUUGUUCGGAAUCACUGGGCGUAAAGGGCGCGUAGGCGGUUCGCUAAGUUGGAUGUGAAAACUCUGGGCUCAACCCAGAGCCUGCAUCCAAAACUGGCGGGCUAGAGUUCUGGAGGGGGUAGCGGAAUUCCUGGUGUAGCGGUGAAAUGCGUAGAUAUCAGGAGGAACACCGGUGGCGAAGGCGGCUACCUGGACAGAAACUGACGCUGAGGCGCGAAAGCUAGGGGAGCAAACAGG